UCGAUGUCUAGGGGUUCUGAGAGGAUGAUCCCCCACACUGGUACUGAGACACGGACCAGACUCCUACGGGAGGCAGCAGUAAGGAAUAUUGGUCAAUGGAGGAAACUCUGAACCAGCCAUGCCGCGUGCAGGAAGACGGCCCUAUGGGUUGUAAACUGCUUUUAUAUAGGAAUAAACCUCUUCUCGUGAGAAGAGCUGAAGGUACUAUACGAAUAAGGACCGGCUAACUCCGUGCCAGCAGCCGCGGUAAUACGGAGGGUCCAAGCGUUAUCCGGAUUUAUUGGGUUUAAAGGGUGCGCAGGCGGGCCUGCAAGUCAGUGGUGAAAUCCCGGGGCUCAACUCCGGAACUGCCAUUGAUACUACAGGUCUUGAGUUUGGUUGAAGUGGGCGGAAUGUAGCAUGUAGCGGUGAAAUGCAUAGAUAUGCUACAGAACACCGAUCGCGAAGGCAGCUCACUAAACCAAAACUGACGCUCAGGCACGAAAGCGUGGGUAGCGAACAGGAUUAGAUACCCUGGUAGUCCACGCCGUAAACGAUGAUUACUCGUUGUUGGCAACAUAUCGUCAGUGACCAAGCGAAAGCGAUAAGUAAUCCACCUGGGGAGUACGUUCGCAAGAAUGAAACUCAAAUUGACGGGGGCCCGCACAAGCGGUGGAGCAUGAGGUUUAAUUCGAUGAUACGCGAGGAACCUUACCUGGGCUCAAAUGUAAGUUGACGUAUAGUGAAAGCUAUAUUUCUUCGGACAAUUUACAAGGUGCUGCAUGGUUGUCGUCAGCUCGUGCCGUGAGGUGUCGGGUUAAGUCCCAUAACGAGCGCAACCCCUAUUCUUAGUUGCCAUCAGGUCAUGCUGGGGACUCUAGGAAAACUGCCUACGCAAGUAGAGAGGAAGGUGGGGAUGACGUCAAAUCAGCACGGCCCUUACGUCCAGGGCUACACACGUGCUACAAUGGCCGGUACAGAGGGCAGCCACCACGCGAGUGGGAGCGAAUCUCGAAAGCCGGUCUCAGUUCGGAUCGAAGUCUGCAACCCGACUUCGUGAAGCUUGAAUCGCUAGUAAUCGCGCAUCAGCCAUGGCGCGGUGAAUACGUUCCCGGGCCUUGUACACACCGCCCGUCAAGCCAUGGAAGCUGGGGGUACCUGAAGUCGGUAACCGAAAGGAGCUGCCUAGGGUAAAACUAGUGACUGGGGCUAAGUCGAAACAAGGUA
rnacentral:rRNA from 1 species